rnacentral:pre_miRNA from 1 species
AGUGAAAUAUCUAGGUCAUAUAGUGGUUUCAUUCUUAGUUUUUUGAGGAAUCUUCACACUGCUUUCCAAAGUUGUUUUAUUAAUUUGCAGUCCCACCAACUAU